GACGGAGGGUGCAAGCGUUGUUCGGAUUGACUGGGCGUAAAGGGCGUGUAGGCGGUUGGUCAAGUCCGAUGUGAAAGCCCGGGGCUCAGCUUCGGAAGUGCAUCGGAAACUAGCCAGCUGGAGCGCGAUAGAGGAGGGCGGAAUUCCUGGUGUAGCGGUGAAAUGCGUAGGUAUCAGGAGGAACACCGGUGGCGAAGGCGGGUCUCUGGGCCGAUACUGACGCUGAGGAGCGAAAGCGUGGGGAGCGAACAGG
rnacentral:rRNA from 1 species